rnacentral:tRNA from 1 species
UGGCUUAGAGGGUAAAGCACCUGCCUGCAAUGCAGGAGACCUGGGUUCAAUCCCUG